UUCCACAUGGUUGCUCAUACAAGUAGAUUAAAAAAAUGAAUGAAAAUCCAAUAAAUUGCGUCUCUUUUAGCAUUAAAGUAAGCCUAACAAUCAUAACCUUGUUAUUCGAGAGUCCCUUUUCUCUCCUAAAUUAUUUGCCCACCCAAACCAAAAUUCUCCAUCUUUCAGAUUUAUCCCCCUUCUCUGCAUCAUAUCCCAGCUCCCCAAAAAAUAAACUCCCUUUUUAAUCUACGCACUUUCAGAAUCUCACUUGCCGACGCCGGCGCCGACAACUUUCCUCUCUAUCGUCUGUCUUCGCACAACAAGAAAGAAAAUAUUUGAUUCGGGAUUUUUUUUGAUUAAAUUUAUGAAUUAAUGACCCUAUGUUGUAUUGUUUCAUUAUUUUUGGGUCUGAUCUUCUCUUAUAUAGCAAAUAAAUCUUAGUUAUUAUAAUUAUUGUUUGUAUUUUUUGUUUUUUUUUGUGUAGACAUAAAAUAUUAAAAAUAUAAAUAUAGGUAUAAUUUUUAUAUAUUAAAUUUAAUAUCAUAUCAUAUCAUAUUUAUUUUAUUUCA
rnacentral:lncRNA from 1 species